AGGCACAACAGGGAGGGCUUAAGCAGGGGCAGAGUGGGGGCGACAUGAGAAGGAAUAACAUCUAUCUGCUCAAUUCGGAAAAAAAAUGACAGAGACCACAGCCAGUGACUCAUCAAAGGGCACUAUUUUUCAAGGCUGGAGGUUCAUACAGUGACUGAUGCAAGUCUCAGCAGACCUUUUUGAGAGGGACUUAACAUGCAUGUCUGUCCUGGAACUGUCUGAAUUUCUUUGCGACAGCACUGAGUAAAAUGGGAUCCCCAUCUGCCUCCUUGUCAUCACCAAACACUGACAGCAGCCGUGCCUUCUUAUGCCUCGUCUCGCAGCAGCUCUAUUGGACAUCUUCUUGAGACAGGUAUAGACUUAUUCUCUCCAAUCUGGCAAUGGACAGACAUGGCAAGACGGUCUGACCUGGUGAAGCAUUGAGUCUGCAAGGAAAAUUAACCACUAGUGACAAUGAAGCCUCAUGAAUAUGCAUUCAAAUUUCAAAGCAUUGCCUGUGUAUAAGAUAUUUAGGAAUAUUAGACA